UAGGAGGGCCUUUCUGUUAGCAAGUUCUGGAGGAGUAAUUUUGUUUCCUUUCUGCCCAAGUGUAGGGGUCCUGCUGCUUGGUUCCUAAAGUAACUGAGUCCCUCUGCUAGCAGACUCUGGAAGAGUAAUUUUGUUGUGAUCUUCUGAGGGUUGGAUGCUGGUGUUCCUUGGAAAGAGUUUCUCUGCUUGGAGGUCACAGGAGUGGGAACUUGCUGUUGACUGGUCUUGGGUGGGACUUCACUACUGGUCAGCAAUGGGAUCAAAGCCUCCCUGGUGGUCUCUGCUAGCUGUAGGGUGCCCGGUGAGGGUCUUUGCUAUGCUACCCAAACUGUUUGUUUACCCAGGAGCUGCUGGUUUGCAGGUGGGUGGAGCCUUGCUCAUGAUUUUCCCCAGGCUCAGAACCCUGCUUUAGGCUCUCUGCUCUGACCUUGGAAAGUACUGCUGUUAUUGCUCCUGGACUUCUCUCCCUCCCAGCUCCCAACUUGGACUAGGAAGGAACUCUUCACUGCUCCGACUCUUCCUCCAUUUGUGGGGGUACAUGGUUCCCUGGUGUAUAUACUUCCUUCAAACAUGUGGCUUCCUGGAUCACAUUUCCCUGAAGCUACCAAUUCCUGGGCAUAUCUACACAGAAGCACUCAGUUAUAAUUCAAGUACAAAAGGCUUCAAAACAGAAGAAGAAGAAGAAGAAGAAGAAGAAGAAGAAGAAGAA